rnacentral:lncRNA from 1 species
CCAGAGAAAAUUACUGAGACGCUCGAUCGCUCGGUCGACUCGCCUCCGGCCGCCGAAGUCUGAUCGACGAUUCGAACACACCAUCGGACUCACAACGACGCGCUGAUAAUGAUUCCCGCUUCCGAUUUUCCGAUCCGACACCCGAUCAUCUGGAGAGAUUUGCGGACGAUCUCAGCCGUCGAUUUGCAAACGAAGUCCGAUCGCCACGAAACCGGUGCCAUUUUGAAGCUUGAGUUGAGGAGAGUCGGGAUA